UGGGGAAUAUUGCACAAUGGAGGAAACUCUGAUGCAGCAACGCCGCGUGAGUGAUGAAGGUCUUCGGAUUGUAAAGCUCUGUCUUCUGGGACGAUAAUGACGGUACCAGAGGAGGAAGCCACGGCUAACUACGUGCCAGCAGCCGCGGUAAUACGUAGGUGGCAAGCGUUGUCCGGAUUUACUGGGCGUAAAGGAUGUGUAGGCGGAUAUUUAAGUGAGAUGUGAAAUCCCCGGGCUUAACUUGGGGGCUGCAUUUCAAACUGGAUGUCUAGAGUGCAGGAGAGGAAAGCAGAAUUCCUAGUGUAGCGGUGAAAUGCGUAGAGAUUAGGAAGAAUACCAGUGGCGAAGGCGGCUUUCUGGACUGUAACUGACGCUGAGGCAUGAAAGCGUGGGGAGCAAACAGGAUUAGAUACCCUGGUAGUCCACGCCGUAAACGAUGGAUACUAGGUGUAGGAGGUAUCGACCCCUUCUGUGCCGGAGUUAACGCAAUAAGUAUCCCGCCUGGGGAGUACGGCCGCAAGGCUG
rnacentral:rRNA from 1 species